AUAUCUAUUUUAUUAUGUCCUAUUUUAUUUUUUGAGCUCAUACAGACCUAGGUAAAUGUUUUUGCUAUCAGUUCUAUUUUUUUAUUAACUGUGGGGCUUUUAAAUAUUGCAAUGGAGAUUUUACCUGUGGAAAACUAUAAGGCCUUUACUGUUGUGUUGUGUGUACACACUUGUGUUAUGUGUUGUAUGUCUGUAUGUAUAUAUUAUAUGAGGAGCGCUCAUGACAAAAAUGGAUCCAAAUAUAUUUUUCUUAUUCACAUGAUUGAAACAAUUUAAUUUAAAUUAGGUAACAAAAAUAGGAGAUUAACAGAUCUGUAUUUUUACUUUCAACUUUAUUUUUCAUUUUAUCUAAUUCUGUUCAGAAUAAUUCUUAGUGCCUGCUGGAAAGUUCUACAAUUUUUUUGUCAAUAUUGCCAGAAUUCCUAUCUUCAUCCCAGUGCCGGUGAAGACAAAGGUACAAGAAUUUCCAGUAUUACUGAAAAAACAAAUGUGACUACAGAAUUACAGCCACCAUCAUCACAACUGUUGCUGUUUCUGCUGCUGCUACUACAGCUUCUGCAAUGGCUAUCACACAAACUGUACAAACUGAUGCAUUAGUAUUUACUUCAAGAAGAAAAAGACAUAUUAAUGGAUUCCUCUGCUUUAAGCUGCUUCCAGAACU
rnacentral:lncRNA from 1 species